rnacentral:misc_RNA from 1 species
GAUGAAGAACGUAGCGAAAUGCGAUAAGUAAUGUGAAUUGCAGAAUUCAGUGAAUCAUCGAAUCUUUGAACGCGCAUUGCGCCCCUUGGUAUUCCGAGGGGCAUGCCUGUUCGAGCGCCAUUUAAACCAAUCUAGCUUGCUAGGUCUUGGGCUUUCGCCUCUGGGCGGGCCUCAAAAUCAGUGGCGGUGCUGCCGGGCUUUAAGCGUAGUAAUCUUUCUCGCUAUAGGGUCCUGGUAGAGGCUUGCCAACAACUAUAAAUCUUUCAAAGGUUGACCUCGGAUCAGGUAGGGAUACCCGCUGAACUUAAGCAUAUCAAUAAGCGGAGGA